rnacentral:rRNA from 1 species
GUGCCAGCAGCCGCGGUAAUACGAAGGGACCUAGCGUAGUUCGGAAUUACUGGGCUUAAAGAGCUCGUAGGUGGUUAGAAAAGUUAGUGGUGAAAUCCCAAGGCUUAACCUUGGAACUGCCACUAAAACUUUUUAACUAGAGUGUGAUAGAGGUAAGCGGAAUUUCUAGUGUAGAGGUGAAAUUCGUAGAUAUUAGAAAGAACACCAAUUGCGAAGGCAGCUUUCUGGAUCAUUACUGACACUGAGGAGCGAAAGCAUGGGUAGCGAAGAGGAUUAGAUACCCUCGUAGUCCAUGCUGUAAACGAUGUGUGCUAGACGUUGGAAAUUUAUUUUUCAGUGUCGCAGCAAAAGCGUUAAGCACACCGCCUGGGGAGUACGACCGCAAGGUUAAAACUCAAAUGAAUUGACGGGGACCCGCACAAGUAGUGGAGCAUGUGGUUUAAUUCGAAGAUACGCGCAGAACCUUACCAACACUUGACAUGUUUGUCGCGACUCUAAGAGAUUAGAGUCUUCGGUUCGGCCGGACAAAACACAGGUGCUGCAUGGCUGUCGUCAGCUCGUGUCGUGAGAUGUUGGGUUAAGUCCCGCAACGAGCGCAACCCUUACUUUUAGUUGCCAUCAUUUAGUUGGGCACUCUAAAAGAACUGCCAGUGAUAAGCUGGAGGAAGGUGGGGAUGACGUCAAGUCCUCAUGGCCCUUACGUGUUGGGCUACACACGUGCUACAAUGGUACUUACAAUGGGAUGCAAAGAGGCGACUCUAAGCCAAUCCCAAAAAGGUACCUCAGUUCGGAUUGUACUCUGCAACUCGAGUACAUGAAGCUGGAAUUACUAGUAAUCGUGGAUCAGCGCGCCACGGGGAAUACGUUCCCGGGUCUUGCACACACCGCCCGUC